GUUUCCAUAGUGUAGUGGUUAUCACGUUCGCUUUACACGCGAAAGGUCCCCAGUUCGAAACUGGGUGGAAACA